rnacentral:rRNA from 1 species
AGAAUGAACGCUGGCGGCGUGCUUUACACAUGCAAGUCGAGCGAGGCCAGGUAGCAAUACCUGAGUCGAGCGGCGCACGGGUGAGUAACGCGUGGAUAACCUGCCUGAUGGUGGGGGGAUAACCCGGGGGAAACUCGGGCUAAUACCGCAUAACACCGAGAGGUCAAAGGGGGCUCGCAAGAGCUCUCGCCUGCAGAGGGGUCCGCGUCCGAUUAGCUAGUUGCAGGGUAAUGGCCUACCAAGGCGACGAUCGGUAGCCGGCCUGAGAGGGUUGAUCGGCCACACUGGAACUGAGACACGGUCCAGACUCCGUACGGGAGGCAGCGAGGUGGGGGAAUUUUGGCGACUAAUGGGACGAAAGCCUAGGACGCAGCAACGGCCGCGUGGAGAGUGAAGGUCUAGGAUAGUAAACUCCGUGUCAGGUAGGGAAAAAGGGACCGGGCUACG